rnacentral:snRNA from 1 species
GUACAGGCUUCAGCGGCACAUAUACUACAACUGGAACGAUAAAGAGAAAAUUAGCAUGCUGCGAACCCACUGAUGACACAGAAAAUCGUCAGGCAUUCCUAAUUUUU